AUGUCCAAGCCAAAGUUCAUGAGUGGUUUAGGAUUUCAGGAUGUGGAGCUUUUCAACUUGGCUUUGCUUGCCCGCCAAGUAUGGAGAUUGUUACAGGAGCCGAAGACACUCAAUGCACGAGUGCUAAAAGCCCGCUACUACCCCAACACCAGUAUAUUAGACGCAACUUUGGGCUCGGCCCCCUCCCAGGUUUGGUGAUCUCUACUGGAAGGCAUGGAUGUUCUGUCUCCUGGCCUAAUUAAGAGGAUUGGAACAGGCUCGAGCACACGGAUUUGGAGUGAUAAUUGGAUGCCGAGGGAUUACAAGCUUCGUCCCAUAUGCGCUCGGACAGCUAACCCACCCUUGUUGGUCUCGGAACUCAUUAAUCCAGCUACUCGGUCAUGGGACAAGCAAAUCAUAGUGGAGCAUUUCAUUGCUCUGGACGUUGAAGUAAUCCUCAAUAUACCCACCAGUUCUUGA
rnacentral:rRNA from 1 species